rnacentral:rRNA from 1 species
UAAAAGAGGAUUUUAUUUAGAGUUUUCUCGAAUUAAGGAGAAUUAAGGGGGUAUAAAUUUCAUUGUUGAAGAAAUGUUUAUAAUACUCUUUUAGGGGUGAAAUGUUAGGCGAUCUUUAAUAUAUCUAGUUUUCUUAGAAAUUGAUUUAAUCAAGCUGAUUGGUUUAUAAGUUUUAUUAUAAAAUUUAUACGCAUAGUUAGUUAUAUUUAUAGGGAUAAGCUUGUAAGUGUAAUUUUAUAAGGAUUGAAUUAUGAAUGUUUAUAGGAAUAGAAGUUUUCAUUUAUUAUAGUGUUUUAUAACAAGAAUUUUUAAGAAAUAAUUUUAUUAAAUUUAAAUAUUUUAUAAGAAUGUUAAAUUUUAUUGGAGUUUUUAGGUAAUAAUGAUAGAAUUAGUAUAUUGAUUUGUUGGAAUGGAAGAAAGUUAGAGAUUAAGUAAAGGAAUUCGGCAAAAUUAUUUUCUGCCUGUUUAUUAAAAACAUGUCUUUUUGAGAAUAAUUUAAGGUCUGGCCUGCCCAAUGAUUUUUUAAUGGCCGCGGUAUUUUGACCGUGCAAAGGUAGCAUAAUCAUUAGUUUCUUGAUUGGGAGCUGGAAUGAAUGGUUUGACAAGAAAAUAUCUGUCUCUAUUUAAUUUUUAGAAUUUUAUUUUUAAGUGAAAAAGCUUAAAUUUUUUUGGGGGACGAGAAGACCCUAUAGAAUUUAAUAUUUUUAAUUAAUUAGGUUUUAGGUUUAAUUAUUUUGAUUGGUUUAGAAAGUAUUUUGUUGGGGUGAUGGAAAAAUUUAAUUAACUUUUUUUUAUUAAUUGCAUUGAUUUAUGAAUAGUUGAUCCAUUUUUUAUGAUUAUAAGAUUAAAUUACCUUAGGGAUAACAGCGUUAUUAAUUCGGAGAGUUCUUAUCGAUGAAUUAGUUUGCGACCUCGAUGUUGGAUUAAAAUGAAUUUAUGGCGCAGAAGUUAUAAAAUUAAGUCUGUUCGACUUUUAAAAUUUU